GUGCUUGUUUCAGUAGCACAUAUACUAAAAUUAGAAUCAUACAGAGAAGAUUAACAUGGUCCCUGCAUAAGGAUGACUCACAAAUUCGUGGCCCAUAUUUUU